rnacentral:rRNA from 1 species
GUAGGUGGCAAGCGUUGUCCGGAAUUAUUGGGCGUAAAGCGCGCGCAGGCGGUUCUUUAAGUCUGAUGUGAAAGCCCACGGCUCAACCGUGGAGGGUCAUUGGAAACUGGAGAACUUGAGUACAGAAGAGGAAAGCGGAAUUCCACGUGUAGCGGUGAAAUAGCGUAGAGAUGUGGAGGAACACCAGUGGCGAAGGCGGCUUUCUGGUCUGUAACUGACGCUGAGGCGCGAAAGCGUGGGAGCAAACAGGGAUUAGAUACCCUGGUAGUCCACGCCGUAAACGAUGAGUGCUAAGUGUUAGGGGGUUUCCGCCCCCUUAGUGCUGCAGCUAACGCAUUAAGCACUCCGCCUGGGAGUACGCCGCAAGGCUG